rnacentral:lncRNA from 1 species
CGGAACACAUCAUUUCAAUCAUAUGGGUCUCGAUUAUAAGACCAAACUGUUAUAACAUGUCUCAAACCGUGCCACACAAUUUUUUCCUACAAUCAAGCGCAACUAUCACAACCAUUUAGGCGUGUUCCAAUUAUUACAACCAAUCGGCCACAGCCAACUCAACAGUUGGUGGUCAUCUAGCGUAACUGGGCAUCAUCCUGCCCCAUCGGGCAUUGUAUCGUCUAGAAUCGCCGCCUAGACGGCAUUCCACACAGGAGCUUCGUUUUGAAAUCCAUUCGCAAACGGCAACAUCUAACAUCCUCCGCCUAGACGGCAUUCCACACAGGAGCUUCGUUUUGAAAUCCAUUCGCAAACGGCAACAUCUAACUUGCUCCGCCUAGACGGCAUUCCACACAGGAGCAUCAUCCCGCAUAAUCAUACACAUUAGAAUGGGUUCACUUAGUGACCACACGAGCACAUACUUGGCCUUGCUUUGCGUUCAAAUACCUCAUUUUCAAAUAAUGAACUUGGUCACUUUUCUUCGUAUUAAAAUUCCUAGUAAAAAUAAUCUUGCAUGGUCAAAUAUUUGGAAUCGAACCAUCAAACUUGGUAUACUCCUAUUAUAAAACCUCCUUGUUUUAUUGAGCAUAUAAAAUUCGGCAUCCAAACCCGACACCUCAUUUAUUUUCUAUUUUCUUUCCCAACCACCCCUUUUUGUAACUAAACUUAGGGUAAUCCCCCCAUUUUUUUUUGUUCAAAGCUUUUGGAAAGAAAUUCGUAGGUGUUCACGUACUCAAAAUUAAUCCACCAAAAUUUGCACACACCUAGUUUAAAACCUCAUUGUUUUAUUGAGCAAAUAAAUUUUGGUGUCCAACCCAACACCUCAUUACUUUUCUAAUAAAUUGCCCAUAAGGCCAUCUUUUGCAAUGACAAUAUACACUCACCAUAAAACGACCAUUCACAUAUUAUCACGCAUAAGUUAUAAGUAUGUCAAAAGUCAACCAAAUCACCAAAUAUACAUUAUCCAGCAAGCACAACACCAAGAAUAACCACAAAACCACAAUCGGCCCUAACCGGCAGAAACUAGGUCCACUCGCGCGUCUCCAAGAUUAAUUCUAGAAAAAAUACUUAAAAAAGUUCAUUAAAUUCUAAAAUUUAAUAUGUCAUAAAGGACACUUAAAAAAACACUUUUCAUCAAGACACCUUGACCCAUAUAUUACUAGAUUAAGAGCAGUAAAUCGCUCAAACCGUUACCAAAACUGUGUCCGUAUCCAGAAAUUCUGUUUUCCAAAAUUAGUUUUUCUUGAGGUCCAAAAAAUGUCCGUUUGAUCUAAAAUUUGAAUAUGUUAAAAUAUAAGAUGUAAUGAAAAAAAUUUGUGAAUAAACUCUUUCGAAAAUCGGACCCUAAGAGUUGAUAAAAAUCCUUUGAACGACAAAAGGUCACAAGUUCCAGCACCAACUCGAAAUUUUGUUUUGCAAAUGACAAGGCUGAAAUAUUAUUCUUUUAAAUCCCUAAAAUCUUGAGUAAAAUAUAUGUCAUAGCUGAAGAUAUCUAGAACAUUUUUCAAGAAUGAAGUAACCUCAAAAUCGCAGCAUAUUUCCAUCCACGAAAAUAGCAAACGGCGAAUGUCUAGUAAACUGAACUGGAGAGAAAUCCACUAAACCAAGCUAAACCACCCUCAUUAAUACUAAUCUAACCAACUAGAUUAACACUAAUACAUCUUAAGGCUAAUCUAACCAAACUAGAUUAAUACUAAUCCAUCUUAAGGCUAAUUAACGCUAAUCUAACCCCUAAGCGCAAUUAACAACCUAAUCAAGGAUUAGGGAGUUAACUCACCGGUUAGGGCGGUGGCGGGUUCACAGCGACGGCAACGCGAAGACGGUGAAGACCCGAGGCAACCACAUCUCCAACAAAGGCCUAACGGUGAGGGAAAACAACCUUACAAGGCCCACGCCCAAGAGAGCUUUGGUUAUGUGGUUGAGCCGAUUUCAACUGGCUUGGUGGGCUAAUGGUGGUGCGGUGUUGCUGGAGUGGAGGCGGGGCCGCUUGGUGCUAAACGUUGGGAGUGGAGGGGUCUGUUUGGUGGCUGUUGGCUCGGGGCUGUGAUGGUGGACAACUGGACGAUUACUAGUUGGGCGGUGGAGAGUGGACGGUGGCUGUGGGCGUGUGGGCUGGUGGGAUUGCUAAACAACUCCUGCACGUCUCCCACUUGGUCGCUGACCUUGCUGCCCCUGCUGAACUGGCUGCUGGGAUUGCUAGCUUCUGGCAACAAAACAAAAAGAAAAGAGCCAGGCGAAGGAGAGGGACGUGAGGGAAGAAUUGAAAUGGAGAGGAUGGUGGUCUGCUGAAAGGGGAGGGAAUGUGCGCACGCAAGAAGGAGGGAAGGGGAGA